rnacentral:rRNA from 1 species
GAUGAACGCUAGCGGCAGGCUUAAUACAUGCAAGUCGAGGGGCAGCAGGGUGUAGCAAUACAUCGCUGGCGACCGGCAAACGGGUGCGGAACACGUACACAACUUUCCUUUAAGUGGGGAUAGCCCAGAGAAAUUUGGAUUAAUACCCCGUAAUAUUAUGAAGUGGCAUCAUUUUAUAAUUAUAGCUCCGGCGCUUGAAGAUGGGUGUGCGGCUGAUUAGGUAGNGGUCGGGGUAACGGCCCACCAAAGCCUACGAUCAGUAACUGGUGUGAGAGCACGACCAGUCACACGGGCACUGAGACACGGGCCCGACUCCUACGGGAGCAGCAGUAAGGAAUAUUGGUCAAAUGGACGCAAGUCUGAACCAGCCAUGCCGCGUGAAGGAUGAAGGUCCUCUGGAUUGUAAACUUC